rnacentral:rRNA from 1 species
CCUACGGGAGGCAGCAGUAGGGAAUCUUCCACAAUGGGCGAAAGCCUGAUGGAGCAACGCCGCGUGGGUGAAGAAGGUCUUCGGAUCGUAAAACCCUGUUGUUAGAGAAGAAAGUGCGUGAGAGUAACUGUUCACGUUUCGUCGGUAUCUAACCAGAAAGCCACGGCUAACUACGUGCCAGCAGCCGCGGUAAUACGUAGGUGGCAAGCGUUAUCCGGUUUUAUUGGGCGUAAAGGGAACGCGGGCGGUCUUUUAAGUCUGAUGGGAAAGCCUUCGGCUUAACCGGAGUAGUGCAUUGGAAACUGGUAGACUUGAGUGCAGAAGAGGAGAGUGGAACGCCAUGUGUAGCGGUGAAAUGCGUAGAUAUAUGGAAGAACACCAGUGGCGAAAGCAGCUCUCUGGUCUGUAACUGACGCUGAGGUUCGAAAGCGUGGGUAGCAAACAGGAUUAGAUACCCUAGUAGUC